AACAGUCAAAUGUUACAGCAUGUCACAAUCAGUGUGCUGGAUCACCUUACUGUGAGUUAACCUGUCCUCCAGGGUGAGUCCAAGUCAAACCUGGAGCAUAACAUCUACAGCUGCAGAUUUAGCUUUGCUACAUGUACAGUCUAAAAAAGUGAGGGUCAUAUACAAUGUGAUCCACUCCUAUUAUAGACUAACACUGGAUUUGAAGAACCGCAAAGAAAACUAUUGGUGUUUACGUAGGCAUACAUCAAAGCAGGGCAACAGUUACUUGGGAACUUUGAUUGUAUUCCUAUUAUGAUGAUGAAUAAUGCUUCAACCACAUUACAUGUAUGCAAUAGAUAGUUGUCUUUGAUCUGUCUUUUAUUACACGACCACUGGCCCAUAUGCCAGAGAAUCAUUCCUUACAAUAUCUAAUGGUAUGAUGUCACCCAAGCUGUUUUUAUAUGAUAAACUCUCUCUAUUGGUCCACCAAUUAUUCUUCAGCAAAAAAUAGAGGAAAGUGCACCAUCUUACAAACUUUCUUACAAACUUCCCUGUUUCUAAAGAACAGGGAAGUUUUCUAGAAAGCACGAAAGCUAUGGAAAAUAAAAAACAAAUUCAGCCCAUUUACUAAUUUGCUAAAUAAAAAAGCAAACAGGUUAACAGUCUUAGGAAGAUUAUGGAAUAUGGCUACUACAUUUACGAAAACUUCACAAGUCUAAUGAAAAUUACAUAUGUAUGUUUAUGGGACAAAAACAACCCUGAAGACACGGUGAACAUGAGUGAGACAACACAACACCAAUGUCAACAUCCAAAGUUAUUCAGAGUGUACACACACUGCAUCACCACGAACCCAACAGAUGAGCUGCUGAGACGAAUGCCAGCAUGCAUGACUGAGGUGAAAAACGGAGCCUCCUGCUAAAUCAGCUGCAGUCCAAAGCUUUUCUUCACCACUCAAUAUUUUUCAAUAAACAGCUUAAACUGAGUCGGAUUAGAUGAGGAUGAAGAACACCUAUGAACACCAGUUCAUAAAUCUUGUAAUAGUUUUUCAGUCAGAUUUAACUCUGGACCUUGACUAGACCAUUCUAAAACAUGCACUUUGAUGUGAACCAUCCCACUGUGGAUCCAGUUGUAUGUUCAGAGUUGUUAAACAUUCACCCCAGUCUCAGGUUUUCUGCAAAACACUUAAAUGUUGUUCUGUUUCAUGUUUCAUUCCAAGAUAAUGAUUUAUGGAUUUUCAUUAUCUCAAAGCUGUAACCAUCAAAAUUACAAUAAAGGCUUGCCAUAUUUUAUUCUGUGUGUGAGAUAAUUUCACACAUGGAGAUGUACACAGCUAAUUGUCAACUGUGACUAGUGGAGAUUGGCUUGACUUCAUAUUGACUAAAUUGUUAGAAGCAAAUGCAGUAGGUAUUGUCAGUAUUCUUUGGUUUAACUUUUUUUUAAUCACCGGUUUACGUUUUCCUAUUUCUUCGAAUACAAUGCAUGGAAUACAGAGCAGGGAGAUCCAUAAACUACCAAAAUUGCAAGCCGAAGAAACCAGAGGAACAGAACUGGGGG